rnacentral:lncRNA from 1 species
UUGUGCAUUAGCAGUUUCACGUAAUGGCGCCUGUCAAGCUGUCAUAUUGUCAGGUUUUUAACUAGUAAAAAAUGCCUGUUAAUCAUUUUGUGGUGCUAUUGCGAUCCGAUUCUCGUACAAACAAAGAAACAGCCUUUUUGAAAGUUGCCAUCUCAAUUCUUACGUAUUUAUACAGUUUUAGCUCGUAGGAAACGUUGUGCAAUCUGCACGAAUGUCUCGCUUUCAAUUCUAACUGUUGCGCCGAAUAUUGUAUUGCGUUUGUCGCUCUUUGAUGUUUUAGUUAAUUUCACGGACAUGCUAGUAACUUCUUACCACCGGAUGAAGCAUUUUAGUUAAAUUUUAUGAUCUUGCCAUUAAUGAAUUAGUAUCACGUAGAAGCAUUCUGUCUCUCGACAGCACUGUGGUACAGUAAUGCCAUGGCUUUAUAGUUAAGUUGACUUAUAGUAGACUUUGUAGUUAGCGUAAUAGUUAAUACACUGAAAAUUUAAAUUUUUUUGUACCAACCUGAGGGGCAAUUUUUCACAACACACACGAUUGUUUGAAAGUUGGUUUUCCACUAGAAGUCAUUUGGAUGUACAGUGCAGUAUAAUUGCAUGUUAUUUCUUUCAGUUUUUAUAUGCUGUAAGAAAUUUUUCCAUAUCUUUAGGUUUAGUUCCUAUACUCAGCCCUACAGUGUGCAAAAAUAGGCAAAUUCUGCACAUUGUGCUCAUCUGUACGAUGCCAGAUUCACGUUAGCAAUCUUGAAAUGGCCUAUCAACAAUAAUUUGGGACUACACAGUGUUAAAAAUCUCUUCACUUAAGAAAAUGUGUAACUGGAAUUUCUUUAGAUGGCUCUUGUAUCGUAAAUAUAUUCCUGCUUCUUGGAACAAGGAACAUAGCAUGUCUUGAUGCCAACCAAGUGUCAUUGGAAAGAUUGUAAAAAGAUGUUAAAGGAAAAACCUAAAAUUGGAGGAUGAUACAUUUGUUUCUCAUUACAAGUUUUGUAAAACAAAUGGAAAAUUGGUAAAAUGAAACAACGUGUGACCUAAUAAUUUAAAUAAAUUGUUUUCAAAAGUGGAUAUUGAUUCCAAAUCUUCAGUUUCCCAGGCAGACACCCAUCCACAAAGCCAUGGGUGACAGAUGAUAUUCACAGCGGGCAUGGCUGUGUUGUAAAUUGGUAUCGCUUUUACAAAGCCCACAUGUAGCACAUGUUGCAUCUACAUUAUAUAGAAAUACAGUCAAUAUGUUCAUGUAA